ensembl:lncRNA
AAAAAUUAAGCUUGCAGAACAGUAGAUCUUUCAUAUAAUCUGUGAUCAAUAAUUUACUGUGCACAUUUUUGUUUUGUGUCUUGCAGGUGCAUAAAAUGUCCACUAGAUAGAGCUAUUCACUAAGCUACUCCUUCAUUUGCGUCCCAUCUUCAGUCCGUAUAAGGUCGUGCAGUUUGUCUUCACUGAAGAGAGGAGCUUUAUGGAAAGUUGUUUUCACAAGGAAGACAUUUUUCCACUUAAACCAGGUCACGCCACCCCUCCCCUCCUGACAUAUUUGCCUUGUGCAACCUACAUGUUUUUGCGCCAAAGGGUGGCUGCUGGAUCUCUUGUUACAGAGUCAGCAGAAUUAGUAGCGUCUGACAUGGACUUUGGUGUGGCUACUGUAAACUGUACUACAGUAACCCAGAGCUGGCUCAGUGUAAGUAACACAGCGUCAUCAAGUGAGAGCAGAGAAGAAAUGAGAUCAUGAAUAAACAGAAGUGAAUGGGGUCAGUCUGCUGUUUUCUCAUCAGGCCCUACUACAGAGUAUUUUUUCAAAGCCUCGCUUGGCAAGAAGUUGAGAGUGUGUUCCUUAAGUUGAGGGUGGAAUUGCUUGAUUCACAGCUGUAAGUAUUCCUUACAAAAAACUACUAUGGUAGAAGCAGUAAAUGUAUCAAAUAGUAGUACUGAAUGAUUACCAUUUAUUUCAAUGUACCAUAAUAUUACCAUCUGAUACUAUCACUGUGCCACCAUAGUACACUUUUGUAAUGGUAUUAUAAUGCCAUGUCCAUUAAAACAACAGUAUUGCCAUGCAAGUUCAAAAUGUAUCAUCAUGGUUUCAUAUCUAUAAAACCACAGUAUAGAUGUAGACAAUGGUAAAUGCCAACUUUUCUUUGCGUCAGGAGAACUCUUACAUCUGUUUAUGUUGAACAUGUCAUACUGUGCAUGCUUCGCAUUCAAGGUAUUGUGGAUCAUUAUGGAUCAUAAUUGUGUGGUGGGGGUUUAGGUGUAGGAGGAAACUAGCGAGGGAUGAGAUCAUAAGCGAGAGGAGUGUGUGUCGUGGCUACAGAUGUGCUGUAUUGCUCUCUCUGGCUCUUAUCUCUGCAGGUUGAGAGAGUGAUUCAUCCAUCAGCUCAGCAGGCGGCUAGGUCUGUUGUUUCUCAGCUCUAUAAAUACACAGCCCACGCUAAAUUUGAUGCUGAGGGGGCGCUGCUGUCCAAGUAGAAUUACCUCACAAGCAUGUGCAUGUGGGUCUUUCACCUUUCUAUGUUAAGCUGUGAUUCACCAGCCAGCAUUCUUUUUUUAUCACUUCAAAUCCUGGUGCAUUUUCUUGGAGCGGACUGGCAUUGCUGAAUCGAGUCUAUUUUAAAACACAAGGUUGACUGGAUCUGCAUGGGGGAGGCGGAUGUGUCACAUUGCUUUAUGUUCAUAGAUGAUCUGCCAUAUUAGCAUGCCUGCUCCCAGACAGCCUCUGAUUAUGUUUUGAGUGG